rnacentral:rRNA from 1 species
GUCUAUGUCAUACUUCCAAGAAAAGCUCGCACUGUCAGAAACAAAGAAUGCCUGUACCAUAACCGACACAGGUGGGUAGGUAGAGUAUACUAAGGGGCGCGAGAUAACUCUCUCUAAGGAACUCGGCAAAAUGACUCCGUAACUUCGGGAGAAGGAGUGCCUUAUUUUUAUAAGGUUGCAAUAACAAGAUCCAAGCAACUGUUUACCAAAAACACAGGUCUCCGCUAAGUCGUAAGACGAUGUAUGGGGGCUGACGCCUGCCCAGUGCCAGAAGGUUAAAGAAGUUGGUUAGCAUCCGCGAAGCUGAUAACUGAAGCCCUGGUGAACGGCGGCCGUAACUAUAACGGUCCUAAGGUUGCGAAAUUCCUUGUCGGGUAAGUUCCGACCCGCACGAAAGGCGUAAUGAUUUGGAUUCUGUCUCGGAGAGGGGCUCGGUGAAAUAGACUUGUCUGUGAAGAUGCGGACUACCUGCACCAGGACAGAAAGACCCUAUGAAGCUUUACUGUAACUUGAAAUUGAAAUUGGACUUUACUUGCGCAGUAUAGGUGGGAGGCGUUGAGAAUAUUCUUGCGGGAAUAUUGGAGCCAUCAGUGAGAUACCACUCUUGGAAUGUUAGAUUUCUAACUUUGUAUCAUUAUCUGGUCAAAGAACAGUUUCAGGCGGGCAGUUUGACUGGGGCGGUCGCCUCCUAAACGGUAACGGAGGCGCACAAAGGUUUCCUCUGAACGGGUAGAAAUCGUAUCUAGAGUGGAAAGGCAUAAGGAAGCUUGACUGUGAGACCUACAAGUCGAGCAGGGACGAAAGUCGGUCUUAGUGAUCUGACGGUGCUGAGUGGAAAGGCCGUCACUCAACGGAUAAAAGUUACUCUAGGAUAACAGGCUGAUCUCCCCCAAGAGUUCACAUCGACGGGGAGGUUUGGCACCUCGAUGUCGGCUCAUCGCAUCCUGGGGCGGUAGUACGUCCCAAGGGUUGGGCUGUUCGCCCAUGAAAGCGGUACGCGAGCUGGGUUCAGAACGUCGUGAGACAGUUCGGUCCAUAUCCGGUGUAGGCGUUAGAAUAUUGAGAGGAGCCUUCUUUAGUACGAGAGGACCGAGAAGGACAUACCUCUGGUGUACCAGUUAUCGUGCCAACGGUAAACGCUGGGUAGCUAUGUAUGGAGUGGAUAACCGCUGAAAGCAUCUAAGUGGGAAGCCCACCUCAAGAUAAGUAUUCUCAUCACGUAAGUGAAUAAGGUCACGGUAAGACUAACCGUUUGAUAGGCAUUAAGUGUAAAUCUAGUAAUAGGUGAGCUGAGAUGUACUAACAGACCGAAGACUUGAAU